rnacentral:misc_RNA from 1 species
AUAUAUCAACCUUCUCUUGUUUGAGUGGCUUGGAUGUGGGGGGUUUGCUGGCCUCUUAAAAGGGGAUCAGCUCUCCUGAAAUGCAUUAGCAGAACAACCUGUUCAUUGGCGUGAUAACUAUCUACGCUAUUGGAUGUAAGGGUGGAUUCAGCUUUCUAACAGUCCUUGGGACAAUCUCAUCAUUA